CAGCUGUCAUCGCCCCUCCCCCUGUGCAGAAUCGCUCAGGGUAUCGGACUGGCAUAUGCCACCUCCUUUAUUUUCUCUCCCCUCUCCCCAAACCUUUCCCUCCAUUCUUUCUUUUUAGCACCGGCUUUCCCCUUCUAUCCAUCCUCUGACUUUCUCUCUCCCCCCCCCGUCCCCCCGUCCCUGCUCUCUUGCUCUUCUCAUACCUCUGGGCAAUGUUAUCCUUCUACUCUCUCCUCUUUUUUUUGGUCUUUUCCUAUCAUCCUAUCCUUUCCCUCUUCCUCUAUCUCUCCGUUUCUUGCGCCAACCUCCUUCUAGCACCCAGUCUAUCUAUCUCCUUUAUAGCAGGUGCCCACUUCUUUUAUGCCAACUACAGCUGCGCGGUGGCGUGGCCAUGGGGGAAAACCCAGGGUGGGUGAUGAGUGCAUGUGGGGGGGGGGCAAGCUUGGUGUCCCUACCGGCAAAGAAACACCCACCCGCCCACCUCAAUCCGUACAGAGGCACGCACGCACGCACAUACACACACACAAAAACUGGAGUCCUUCGCUUCUCCUCUCGCCACCCUACAAUCCGCUGUUGAAAGUGGCACGGUGCCAGCCCAUAAAGAACCAUCUGUGCCCCCCCCGUCGGUAGCUCGGGCCCCUCCCCCUCUCUAUAGCACUAAUUGGCAGCUGAAUUAAUUAAAUCGUGGAUGCUAAUUAACAUUCUGUCUGUGCAAUGCUAAGGCGAGGGGGGGAAAGAGAGGCAAAGCAUAGAGGGUCUCCACUGGGCAUUGAGAGAAAGAGAGAAAAAGUGGGCACAGGAAGCGUCUGUGUUUGGAUGGCGGGUGGCAGGCGGGCAGAUCUGGUUUUAUCCCCAGCCCUGACAGGGGAGCAAAAUCUUUGGGCUUCAAAGUCGCAGGAACACAACAUUUCACAAGGAUGCCCAGUCCUAAGCCAGAGACAACAAGAACAAACUUCUCAUGAACUCCAAAUUGGGAAUGAAAGCUUUCUUGUGAUUGAUCCAAGUCUAAGAAUAAAAACAACCCUAAAACAACGAGUGAACGUCUCACUUAUUAUGUCUUCACCCUGAAACCCGUCACCCUGAGGCAACACAAGGAAUCAGACUCGUUUCCAAAGAAAGGCAAAAAAAGGGGGACCUGUUCCUGCAUUUUGGCAGCUCACAAAAAAAAUUAACUUUGCUCAGAUCAACAAAACAAGAUCGCACAAUCUGGGAAAACGGGGAGCUUUCUUAAUACCUGGUCUUCUUCCACUGUUUUAAUUCCCCAACCAACAUUUAACUUUUGUCUCACGUUAUAAUAUAAUCUUUAACGGGCUGAAGGUACAAGCCAUUCGUUAAUUUCCAUUAAAGAUGUUUUAAGUGUGUGUGUGUGUGCGUUUUAAAGCAUAUUUUCAUAUAUAGCAGGGGAAUAACUUCAAGAAGUCCAGGAGACCCACAAACCUGCCCCUGGAUUUUAAAGAGGGCGGUGUCCACUCAAGCAAAGGCCACCCUAAAAUAUUUUUCAUGCAAAAUUGCUUUUUAAACUGAAAAAGACUCUCUCUCUCUCUCUCUCUCUCUCUCUCUCUCACACACACACACACACACACACACACAGACAUGACCAACAUAUUUGGGCAGGAUCCUGUUGGCAUCUGUGUACGUUUUGAUGAGGUGCCUGAUCACAUACCAUCCCUCACGAGUUGAUAUCUUUUUCAAAAAAAGUUUUACGUAUAAAGGUGAGGAGGUGAUGGCGUUAUGUUUUGGUUCUAAAACCAUGAGGUGGGAGGAGUCCAUGUUGCCAUCUCGAUAUCCAGCAUAGCAGGUAAAGCAACAAAAUGUUGCAGUGUGAAGUGCUCCUUCCCCGCCACACAUGGGUAUAAACUCCCAGGUCGGCCGAUCGUGUCGGUUCAUUUAUUGGCAGAACAGGUUUUUCGGUGCUUCAAAGCUCCACCUCCUCUGGCGCGCGUCCACUUAGAUAUUAUUUUUAUUUAAUUUUAAACCAGCCUCCUCCUAUUUAAUUUUUAAUUCUUUCACAUACUAAGUCAUUGGUCCUUCCAACAUACUAAGUCAUUAGUUAGCGGCUGUAAUGACU
ensembl:lncRNA